GAUGAAGAACGUAGCAAAAUGCGAUAAGUAAUGUGAAUUGCAGAAUUCAGUGAAUCAUCGAAUCUUUGAACGCACAUUGCGCCCGCUGGUAUUCCGGCGGGCAUGCCUGUUCGAGCGUCAUUUCAACCCUCAAGCCCCCGGGUUUGGUGUUGGGGAUCGGCUCUGCCCUUCUGGGCGGUGCCGCCCCCGAAAUACAUUGGCGGUCUCGCUGCAGCCUCCAUUGCGAAGUAGCUAACACCUCGCAACUGGAACGCGGCGCGGCCAUGCCGUAAAACCCCAACUUCUGAAUGUUGACCUCGGAUCAGGUAGGAAUACCCGCUGAACUUAAGCAUAUCAAUAAGCGGAGGA
rnacentral:misc_RNA from 1 species